GGACUUCCUGCCAAGCCCCCCAGAGUCUCUCUGCUGCCGCCGCAAGCGCCGCUGGCCCGGGGACCACAGAUUGGAAGCAGGCAGUCACUGGUCGUGGACAGGAAGACUCUCUCCGGCCAUCUCAGGUGUUCCUGUAUAAAACUGUGCCAACGAGUUUGCUGUCAUGUGCCUGUGGUCGCCUCAACAAAGUAGAACUUCCUUACUGGCUCUGGAGGCCAGUCUACAGCCUGUAUAUCUGGACCUUUGGGGUGAACAUGACUGAGGCUGCAGUGGAGGACCUGCACCACUACCGCAACCUCAGCGAGUUUUUCCGGCACCAGCCCAUCAGAUGGCAAGAUCCUCACCUUUGGGCAGGUGAAGAACUCUGAGGUGGAGCAGGUAAAGGGCGAAACCUACUCCUUGGAGUCCUUCCUGGGCCCUCGAACCAGUACAGAAGACCUGCCCUUCCCUCCAGCUUCUUCCAGUGACUCCUUCAGAAACCAGCUGGUCCCCCAAGAAGGGAAUGCGCUCUACCACUGUGUCGUCUACCUGGCCCCAGGAGACUACCACUGCUUCCACUCCCCCACUGACUGGACCGUCUCACAUCGGCGCCACUUCCCAGGUUCCCUGAUGUCAGUGAACCCUGGCAUGGCCCGAUGGAUCAAAGAGCUCUUUUGUCACAAUGAGCAUGUAGUCCUAACUGGAGACUGGAAAAAUGGGUUCUUCUCGUUGACAGCAGUGGGAGCCACCAAUGUGGGCUCUAUCCAUAUCCACUUUAACUGAGUGAGCAAAGCCCACAGGCUAAACCUCUUGGGUCCAACCACUUCAUUUACUGUACAGCCUUACCUUUGGGCUUAUAAAUUUUGUAGUGCAGGAGGGAUGAUCUAGCUCUGACCAGGCUGGACUCUACAGACAUCCAUACCAGCCCAGCCUCCCUCUCCCUGUUGCCCAAUCUGUGGCCAUUCACCUGCCUGAACCAAUCCCACAUCUUAACACACGGCUUCUGCCAGGAUCCCUGAUCAGAAGCAAGGAUGGAGCCUGCAGGAGGGUAGAGUUGGCUUGGGUGAGAAAAUCUGGUACCCACUCUGCCUUUUUAGGUUUUAAUGGCUGCUGCUGGCACUAGCCUUUCAGCAUUUAUGUCUAACCCCUGCCCCUCCUUGUCAAAGUCACAGCUGAUACUGGGAGUGUUGAUUAGUUAGGCCUUUGUCUCUGCCACCUGGGCUGGGCAGAGUUGAGGACAGGCUCAACCUUCUUGUUCCUAGGACUUGCACACAAACAGCCCCAGGUACAGCAAGGUACUACAAUGACCUGAGCUUUGUAACAAGGAGGGCAUUCCCAUGCACAAGGGUGAGCCCCUGGGCGAGUUCAACCUGAGCUCCACAUCAUGCUCAUCUUCGAGGCACCCAAGGACUUCAACUUGAGGCUGAAGGCAGAACAGAAGAUCUGCUUUGCAGGAGCACUGGGCUCCCUCUAGUCCUCUCGGUUGUGGCUGCCAAAGGAUCUUUCCACACAGGAGCAUGAGGGUCUUUAGCGGAGCCCCAGGAUGUCUAGGUGAGGGGCACUGUGGGGCUGACCUUAUAAGACCUGAAUGAUGUGUUCCUGCCUGUCCAUGGGUGCAGAGGAGAGGUUCUGGGUCUCUCAGGACCUAGGCCCCUUUUCUGAGUAUGGGUGGGUGUGAUUUGACCCCAAAGUCACUUUAAGGGGUGUUUUAAAUUUUUGUACAAGCCAGAGCCUCCCACCCCUAACUCCUGGCUGUGUACUACCACACCCUCUAGCUGCGCCCCGACCCGUCACAGGGCUCUCUCACUGUGCACAGGGUGACGUGCCUGCUGGGCAGAGACUGUGGAUCCACUGUCUUCCUAGAGCAGGCCACAUGGCCUUCAUAACUGCUUUCUGCUCCCAAAUUUCACCUAUCUGCAUGCUGGAAAAGUAAAAUCAUUUAUAUAUUGCUGGA
rnacentral:lncRNA from 1 species